GACGGACGCUGGCGGCGUGCUUAACACAUGCAAGUCGAACGGAAAGGCCCUGCUUUUGUGGGGUGCUCGAGUGGCGUACGGGUGAGUAACACGUGAGUAACCUGCCCUUGACUUUGGGAUAACUUCAGGAAACUGGGGCUAAUACCGGAUAGGAGCUCCUGCUGCAUGGUGGGGGUUGGAAAGUUUCGGCGGUUGGGGAUGGACUCGCGGCUUAUCAGCUUGUUGGUGGGGUAGUGGCUUACCAAGGCUUUGACGGGUAGCCGGCCUGAGAGGGUGACCGGCCACAUUGGGACUGAGAUACGGCCCAGACUCCUACGGGAGGCAGCAGUGGGGAAUAUUGCACAAUGGGCGGAAGCCUGAUGCAGCAACGCCGCGUGCGGGAUGACGGCCUUCGGGUUGUAAACCGCUUUCGCCUGUGACGAAGCGUGAGUGACGGUAAUGGGUAAAGAAGCACCGGCUAACUACGUG
rnacentral:rRNA from 1 species